rnacentral:misc_RNA from 1 species
UCUCCGUUGGUGAACCAGCGGAGGGAUCAUUACCGAGUUUACAACUCCCAAACCCCAUGUGAACGUUACCAAACUGUUGCCUCGGCGGGGUCACGCCCCGGGUGCGUCGCAGCCCCGGAACCAGGCGCCCGCCGGAGGAACCAACCAAACUCUUUCUGUAGUCCCCUCGCGGACGUUACUUCUUACAGCUCUGAGCAAAAAUUCAAAAUGAAUCAAAACUUUCAACAACGGAUCUCUUGGUUCUG